UGCAGAAGAUGAAACAAAUUACUCAAAUAGACAAGCAUAUGUCUGAUCUUCAUGAUUGAAAAGAGCAAUUAGUGUCUGAUGCAAUUUA
ensembl:snoRNA C/D box small nucleolar RNA (snoRNA); guides 2'-O-methylation of small subunit (SSU) rRNA at position A28